rnacentral:tRNA from 1 species
GAUUAUAUAGUUUAAUAAAAACAUUAGUUUUGUAAACUAAAAUUAUAAAUUUAUUGUAAUCU